CCUACGGGAGGCAGCAGUGGGGAAUUUUCCGCAAUGGGCGAAAGCCUGACGGAGCAACGCCGCGUGAGGGAUGAAGGCCUCUGGGCUGUAAACCUCUUUUAUCAAGGAAGAAGAUCUGACGGUACUUGAUGAAUAAGCCACGGCUAAUUCCGUGCCAGCAGCCGCGGUAAUACGGGAGUGGCAAGCGUUAUCCGGAAUUAUUGGGCGUAAAGCGUCCGCAGGCGGUCUGUCAAGUCUGCUGUUAAAGCGUGGGGCUUAACUCCAUUUCGGCAGUGGAAACUGACAGACUAGAGUGUGGUAGGGGCAGAGGGAAUUCCCGGUGUAGCGGUGAAAUGCGUAGAUAUCGGGAAGAACACCAGUGGCGAAGGCGCUCUGCUGGGCCAUAACUGACGCUCAUGGACGAAAGCCAGGGGAGCGAAAGGGAUUAGAUACCCCUGUAGUCCUGGCCGUAAACGAUGAACACUAGGUGUCGGGGGAAUCGACCCCCUCGGUGUCGUAGCCAACGCGUUAAGUGUUCCGCCUGGGGAGUACGCACGCAAGUGUGAAACUCAAAGGAAUUGACGG
rnacentral:rRNA from 1 species